UGCCUAAUACAUGCAAGUCGAGCGAACAGACGAGGAGCUUGCUCCUCUGACGUUAGCGGCGGACGGGUGAGUAACACGUGGGUAACCUACCUAUAAGACUGGGAUAACUCCGGGAAACCGGGGCUAAUACCGGAUAAUACAUGAAACCGCAUGGUUUCAUGAUGAAAGACGGUUUUGCUGUCACUUAUAGAUGGACCCGCGGCGUAUUAGCUAGUUGGUAAGGUAACGGCUUACCAAGGCAACGAUACGUAGCCGACCUGAGAGGGUGAUCGGCCACACUGGAACUGAGACACGGUCCAGACUCCUACGGGAGGCAGCAGUAGGGAAACUUCCGCAAUGGGCGAAAGCCUGACGGAGCAACGCCGCGUGAGUGAUGAAGGUCUUCGGAUCGUAAAACUCUGUUAUUAGGGAAGAACAAGGAUGUAAGUAACUAUGCAUCCCUUGACGGUACCUAAUCAGAAAGCCACGGCUAACUACGUGCCAGCAGCCGCGGUAAUACGUAGGUGGCAAGCGUUAUCCGGAAUUAUUGGGCGUAAAGCGCGCGUAGGCGGUUUUUUAAGUCUGAUGUGAAAGCCCACGGCUCAACCGUGGAGGGUCAUUGGAAACUGGAAAACUUGAGUGCAGAAGAGGAAAGUGGAAUUCCAUGUGUAGCGGUGAAAUGCGCAGAGAUAUGGAGGAACACCAGUGGCGAAGGCGACUUUCUGGUCUGCAACUGACGCUGAUGUGCGAAAGCGUGGGGAUCAAACAGGAUUAG
rnacentral:rRNA from 1 species